rnacentral:tRNA from 1 species
AGGUAAGUCUCUUCUGGUAGAGAAAAGUAGCCGAUAACUACUUUUUGUUUAGUUCAACUCUAAUCUUACCUU